rnacentral:misc_RNA from 1 species
GGAAGUAAAAGUCGCAACAAGGUUUCCGUAGGUGAACCUGCGGAAGGAUCAUUAUUGUAUAACCGAGGUGCGAGGGCUGUCGCUGACCCGAAAGGUCGUGCACGCCCGAGUGCCCUCACACACAUCCAUCUCACCCCUAUGUGCACCACCGCGUGGGUCCCCCUUUGGCUUGUUCGGAGGGGGGCUUACGUUUUCACACAAACUUUGUAUGCAGUGUAGAAUGUAUUUUUUGAUUUUGCGAUCACGCAAUCAAUACAACUUUCAACAACGGAUCUCUUGGCUCUC